rnacentral:rRNA from 1 species
CGCCNNUUUAUCAAAAACAUCGCCUCUUGCAGUUUUCUGUAUAAGAGGUCCCGCCUGCCCUGUGAUUAUAUAUUUAACGGCCGCGGUAUUUUGACCGUGCAAAGGUAGCGCAAUCACUUGUCUUUUAAAUGGAGACCUGUAUGAAUGGCAUAACGAGGGUCCAGCUGUCUCCCUUUUCUAGUCAAUGAAAUUGAUCUCCCCGUGCAGAAGCGGGGAUAAGAGCAUAAGACGAGAAGACCCUGUGGAGCUUUAGACCCCGAACCAGAUCAUGUCCAAAAUGCCCCCCCAAGGGAUUAAAACUAAUUGAAGCCUGUUUCGCUGUCUUUGGUUGGGGCGACUGCGGAGUACUAACCAACCCCCGCGUAGAAUGAAGAGACUACCUCUUUAAAGUAAAGAUCCACACCUCUAAGUAACAGAAUCUCUGACUAAAUAUGAUCCGGCACCCCCGAUCAACGAACCGAGUUACCCCAGGGAUAACAGCGCAAUCCUCUUCCAGAGCCCAUAUCGACAAGGGGGUUUACGACCUCGAUGUUGGAUCAGGACACCCUAAUGGGGCAACCGCUAUUAAGGGUUCGUUUGUUCAACGAUUAAAGUCCUACGUGAUCUGAGUUC